UGUGUAACGGAUGUGAAAUGGCUAGCUAGUUAGCGGGUACGCGCUAGUAGCAUUUCAAUCAGUUACGUCACUUGCUCUGAGACUUAAGUAGUGUUGCCCCUUGCUCUGCCUUUGUGGAGCAAUGGGUAACGAUGCUUCGUGGGCAACCGUUGUUGAUGUGUGCAGAGGGUCCCUGGUUCGCGCCCGUGUCGGGGCGAGGGGACCGUGUAAAGUUAUACUGUUACAUUGAUGCUGUUGACACGGAUCACUGGUUGCUGCGGAAAAGGAGGAGGUUGAAAGGGGGGUGAGUGUAACGGAUGUGAAGUGACUAGCUAGUUAGCGGGUACGCGCUAGUGGCAUUUCAAUCAGUUACGUCACUUGCUCUGAGACUUAAGUAGUGUUGCCCCUUGCUCUUCGUGAGCAACCGUUGUUGAUGUGUGCAGAUGUUCCCUGGUUCGCGCCCGUGUCGGGGCGAGGGGACGACGUAAAGUUAUACUGUUACAUAUGCUGUUUCUUGACUCGACCCAUCCUAUAGGCACCCUGCGCUAAGGCGGGCCAGCUCAACCCUGGUCCAUGACCGGCUACACUCGGGGGUUAGCACCGCGAGCAGGCUCAGCAUAAACCUCGACUCCUCAGGCUUCUUGCACAAUGGGAGCAGCCAGCUCAACCUCAGUUCACUUCCGGGAGGUGCCAGCACACCCACGUCCUACGGCUGGAGGAUGGCCCUGCCAGCAUGCUCAGCACAACCACUUGUUCACGAAUGGAAGCUGACCCAGCCUGGAGGGUUGACUGGGGGCUGGCCUCCCAGACCACCGUCCACAUCAACCAUCAUGCCAAACUCUAUCAAUGCUACCCAAUGUACACAAUGUGUUCAUCAGAUGGUGAGAAGCCAAACUCGUGAAAUUUGUCACAAUCAUCUAGGCCCUAUUGGUCCCCAAGAACACAAAAUGUUUCUUUGACAUACCAAUAGACCCAAUAAAAACCUAUACUGAACAAAAGUAUAAAUGCAACAUGCAAUCAUUAAUGAUUUUACUGAGUUACAGUUCAUAUAAGAAAAUCUGUCUAAAUUGAAAUAAAGUAAUUAGGCCCCUAAUCUUUGGAUUUCACAUGACUGGGCAGGGGUGCAGUCAUGGGUGGGCCUGGGAGGGCAUAGGCCCACCCACUUGGAGCCAGGACCAGCCAAUCAGAAUGAGUUUUUCCCCACAAAAGGGUGACUGGUCUCAGACGAUCCCGCAGGUGAGGAAGCCUGUUGUGGAGGUCCUGGGCUGGCGUGGUUACACAUGGUCUGCAGUUGUGAGGCCGGUUGGACAUACUGCUAAAUUCUCUAAAAUUACAUUGGAGGUGGCUUAUGGUAGAGAAAGUAACAUUCCUGCAGUUAGCAUGCCAAUUGCACGCUCCCUCAACUUGACACAUCUGUGGCAUUGUGAUGUGUGACAAAACUGCAUAUUUUAGAGUGGCCUUUUAUUGUCCCUAGCACAAGGUGUACCUAUGUAAUGCUGUUUAAUCAGCAUCUUGAUAUGCCACACCUGUCAGGUGGAUGGACUAUCUUGGCAAAGGAGAAAUGCUCACUAAUGGGAAUGUAAACAAAUUUGUGCUCAAAAUCUGAGAGAAAUAAGCUUUUUAUGCACAUAGAAAAUGAAUGAGAUCUUUUAUUUCAGCUCGAGUAAGGGGAUCAACACUUUACAUGUUGCGUUUAUAUUUUUGUUGUUUGUAACACAUUAGCUUGAAAAUCAAACUGAACAAAAUCGUUAAAUUAUACUGAACAAAAAUAUAAAUGCAACACGGAAAGUUUUGGUCUCUGUAGAGUGAUGUCAUUCUCCCUAACCCCUCCACUCUGGCCCUGAGCCCAUGUCCCAGACAGACAGAACAACAACACCAGCAGAGCUACAGCAUCCCUCAUUCUGAAACAAUACCUCUUCAGAACUAAUGUAGUCUACUGGGCUCAGUCCUUUUCUUUAUACACACUGGUCUUGGUAACCUGAUGCAUGAGAAACCAACACAUGUUGCAACUCAGUGGAAUGUUAAAAUAUCACCAAGGACAAGUAAAGUCAUGGGUAAAAAGUACACAAAUACAGGUGCACACCAGUGUACAAUACAAUAGCCUGUCAAAAUGUGACAAUUAUUCCCUCUUGUGGUUAAAUAUUACAUCUCUCUUCAACUCUGCAAGAUGUAUCUGCCCUUUAUCUGCUCCCCCUAGAAUGGGGGAUAAGGACAAAAAUAAUAAUAAUUGAAACAAUAUUUUGAAAAUACAUUUUAAGCUCAACAAGUUUCAAUGAUUUCACUUUUUUUUAAAUCCUUAUUGCUCAUUUUACUUCUGAGUAGGAAAUACCAGCUCUGCUGGUGUUGCUGUUCUGUCUGUCUAGGACAUGGGGAGAGUGAAGGGGCUAGGGAGAAUGACACCACUCUACAGGGUCACAGUGAACGUGGGAGAGCCGUGAUAAUGGUGGUCUUGACAUCUGGACUGAGCUGAAAGCACAGAGACAAGGUGCACAAUAUGGGAACCAUCCUGGUGGAGCAGAGAGUGGAGCUGAGGUACAUGGGAAACAGAUUGACAGCUAGUGAGAGCCAAGUGGAGGAACUGAAGAGAGACAAUGCAGCUGGCCCAUCUAGCGGAAAUGGCUCGGUUCUGCUUCCAGGGCAAGAUUCAUGCCAAUGAACAUCAACAAGCGGCCCAUUCACUCUAAGCCCUGGAGACCAGAUUGAGCGUCAGUGAGAGGCUGGGAGAGGAGCUGAAGAGACAAUGCAGCACAAGCAGCAGCACUGUCAGCCAGGGAGGCCAGAGUGACAGCCAGGGAGAGCCAGAUAGAGGUGCUGAAGACAGACAACACAGGUAAUAUGAAUAUAUGGCUUAUAAAUAAGUUUAGGUAACUGUUUGAUUUGUUGUCUUUAUGUCAGCAGAACUGUCCGCCUUGGGGAGCCAGGUGGAGGAGCUGAAGAGACAGAAUACAGAUAGACCAAAGCUGGCCUUCUCUGCUGGUUUGACUAACUCAGGAAAAGUAGGACCUUUCAAUACUGAGACCAAACUGAUCUACACCAAAGUCUUCACAAACAUCGGCAACACCUACAACCCACAUACAGGUAUCUUCACAGCACCAGUGAGAUGAGUCUACUACUUCCGAUUCUCUAUGGUUUCUUAUGAAAUCGCAUUUAGUGGGGGUCUAAACAUGUACAGGAAUGGCCAGAGAAUAUUGCAGAAUGGUCAGUAGUACAAUGCUGCGAAUGAGUGUGUGCAAUGGAGUGGCUCUGCAUCUGCAAAAGGAUGAUACGGUCCAUAUGCGCCUUUUCAAAGGCUGGGUAGUGUAUGAGGUUUCAUCUUACCACAGCACCUUCAGUGGAUUCCUGCUCUUCCCUGUAUGAGGGUAACUCCAAGAGAGCUGUAGUUUAGUGGUAUGAAUCAUCUAUUGGUAUAAAGCCUCCUAUAGGGCUCAAUGUUAUUUUGACAUAGGCAUAUAUAUGGAUAAACGCAAUAAAAAUUCAAAUUGACUUUCUUUAUUAUUUUUCCAUAUGAUUAUCAACGCAUCUGCUAAAAAGCAACAUUGAGUUUCUUCAACAUUCUAAAUAAUUUGAGUCACUUACCUCCGUACUGUCAUGUCUUUGGCGAUAAUGCAGCAGACAUAUCUAACUGUAGGAUCUUCAUAUUUUUCCCGCCUUGAAGGAAUAGUUCACAAAAUCAGCAAUAGAAAGUUGCAAACCUAAAUCCUGAAAUGAAUAAGGCAACAUCCAAAUACGUUUUGGGAUAAACCUGCUAAACUCUCAUAAGGCAUAUCACACAACAGAUGGGAUAUGAAUUUAGGGUAUACACUUGACUUCAGACAACUUUUCAGGUUUGAAUAUGUCUGACAAGCUGCUUAAAUAUCUAUUCAAAGCGCCGUAUCGAAGGCCAUGUCCUCGGUAUAGGCUACUCGUGGUGCUAAGAACUGUUCAUACACAUCCAAUCUUUUUUAGCCACCUAUUGCAGAAGUCUAAAUAUUAAACACUAGAUCGGGAGGGUGGUAGAUUAUGCUGACAAACUGCCUGGGAGCUCCUCAGUGGUGAAACUCCUCCUCCUUCAAUCAGUGGUGAACCAGGUGGAACAAAUCUUCCAGGCAAUCUGGGCGUGCCAGCACCUGGCUCUGCUGUUGUCUUUAGAUCGCAGUGAAAGGAGCAUUUAUAAAACCACAAGACCAAGGAAACUUCAUCUUUGUGAUCAAGGUGACUGUGCAAGUCCAAGCCCUCCACAAAACUGUGAAAGACAGCCGGUAAGCGCCAUAUUGGCCAUGUUUGACUAUACUGACUUAAGCAGUGCACUGCUAAUGAUACUCUGGAAAACACAGACUCUUAACUUUGAUAGGACUUUUGCAGUGGUAUUUAUAACUUCAAAUGUUGUUUGUGGGGUUUAAAGUAAGAAGAGCCAAAUUCAUUGUUGAUAGAACUUGUUUGAAAUGGUUAAAAGUAAUUUAAACUUUGUAGAAAUCUUAGUAAACCAAGUUCUUAAUUCAGUAACAAAUGUAUAGUCUGGAAAAUCUUUGGCUAAAAGAUGUAGGAUUUGUUUGCUUAACUGCUGAUUAGAAAAUAAGUGGGUUUUUUGCUACUAGAGGUAUUUUGAAUGUGUUUGGCUAAAAUGCAAAUUUGGAUAAAAGUGUACUGAUUCUGCUCUUUUGAUUAAAAAUGGUGGGUUUCUAUUUUGGGAAACAUUUGCUUAACAGUGGAAACCUUGUAUUUGAUAAUGGCAGAAAUGUGUUUCUGAGGUGAAUGUGGAUAAUUUUGUGUAUUUAAUUAGGCUGUCAACUCAAAUAAUCACUUGUAUUUGUCAUCUCUUUUUUGAGGUUUUUCACCUGUUUACUGCCAACCAAAGAAUAGUAAAUAAAAGACAAACAACUGA